AGCAGCCGCGGUAAUUCCAGCUCCAACAGCGUAUAUUAAAGUUGUUGCAGUUAAAAAGCUCGUAGUUGAAUUUCGGGAUCAAGGGAUCGGUCAUGCCUUGGUAUGUACUGGUCUUAUUGGUUCUCACCUUCUAAAGAACCAUGAUGUCAUUCAUUUGAUGUUAUGGGGAAUUAGGACUGUUACCUUGAAAAACUUAGAGUGUUUAAAGCAGGCUCACGCUUGAAUACAUUAGCAUGGAAUAAUGAAAUAGGACGUUUGAUUCUAUUUUGUUGGUUUCUAGGAUCGACGUAAUGAUUAAUAGGGAUAGUUGGGGGGCAUUAGUAUUCAAUUGUCAGAGGUGAAAUUCUUGGAUUUAUUGAAGACUAACUACUGCGAAAGCAUUUGCCAAGGAUGUUUUCAUUAAUCAAGAACGAAAGUUAGGGGAUCGAAGACGAUCAGAUACCCGUCGUAGUCUUAACCAUAAACUAUGCCGACUAGGGAUCGGAUGAUGUUAAUUUUUUAAUGACUCAUUCGGCGCCUU
rnacentral:rRNA from 1 species